GAUGAACGCUGGCGGCGUGCCUAAUACAUGCAAGUCGAGCGAACAGACGAGGAGCUUGCUCCUCUGACGUUAGCGGCGGACGGGUGAGUAACACGUGGAUAACCUACCUAUAAGACUGGGAUAACUUCGGGAAACCGGAGCUAAUACCGGAUAAUAUAUUGAACCGCAUGGUUCAAUAGUGAAAGACGGUUUUGCUGUCACUUAUAGAUGGAUCCGCGCUGCAUUAGCUAGUUGGUAAGGUAACGGCUUACCAAGGCGACGAUGCGUAGCCGACCUGAGAGGGUGAUCGGCGACUGUGGAAGUGAGACACGGUCCAGAGUCCUACGGGAGGCAGCAGUAGGGAAGCUUCCGCAAUGGGCGAAAUCCUGACGGAGCAACGCCGCGUGAGUGAUGAAGGUCUUCGGAUCGUAAAACUCUGUUAUUAGGGAAGAACAAAUGUGUAAGUAACUAUGCACGUCUUGACGGUACCUAAUCAGAAAGCCACGGCUAACUACGUG
rnacentral:rRNA from 1 species